AGUCGAGCGAUGAGGCUCCUUCGGGAGUACAUGAGCGGCGAGCGGGUGAGUAUCACGUGGGUGACUUGCCCCGAACAUGGUGAUAACCUCUGGAAACCGGGGCUAAUACCCAAUGUGCUCGGUGAUUCGGUUCAUCGACUACAGCUCCGGCGCUUCGGGAGAGGCCUGCGGCCCAUCCUGUAAUUUGCCCUGUAACGGCCUACCAAGGCACAUAUGGGUCCGGGGCGAGAGAGCCCGUACCCCCUUACCGGCACUGACACUUCCCCCACACUCCUACGGGAGGCAUCAUUAAAGGAUAUUGCGCAAUGGACUAAUGUCUAACGCAGCGACGCGCCUUGGGCUAUGAAUGCCUCCGGCUUGUAAAGGCCUUUUAUGGGGAAAGACAUACACCACCGUACCCUUCGAAUAAGUCCCUGCUGUUUACGUGCCUGCCGCUGCGGUUAAACGCACGGGAAAGCUCCUCGCCGUGAUUCACUGGUCGUCCAGAUGCGUUGAGGCUUGUCCGUACCUCUCGGCGUGUAAUCUCCGUACUUAUUUUCGGAUAUGUCCCUCCAUACUGAUCGGCUUGAGGACAGCUUAGGAAGGUGGAAUUCACUGUGUAGUGCUGAGAAGCGUACAUACGCGAGGAACACCCGGGGGAGAUAGUCGGGUUCCUGCCCUGUUCCCUGACUCUCACAGCGAAAUCU
rnacentral:rRNA from 1 species